UACGUAGGGUGCGAGCGUUGUCCGGAAUUAUUGGGCGUAAAGGGCUCGUAGGCGGUUUGUCGCGUCGGGAGUGAAAUCCACUGGCUUAACUGGUGGCUUGCUUUCGAUACGGGCAGACUGGAGGUAUGCAGGGGAGAACGGAAUUCCUGGUGUAGCGGUGAAAUGCGCAGAUAUCAGGAGGAACACCGGUGGCGAAGGCGGUUCUCUGGGCAGUAGCUGACACUGAGGCGCGACAGCGUGGGGAGCAAACAGG
rnacentral:rRNA from 1 species